CCCAAAUGCAUGCUUUACAAUUAUUCUAUUUAUUUUUUUUCUCAAUAUUCAAACUUCAUUUCUUUGGGAAAAUAAUCAGGUAUUAUUUCAAGUUAGUGCAGAGUGCCACAGCAAUUCAGUAAUAAAACAGAUAUGUUGAUCAAAUUUCUGAUUGCAUUGUCAACAAAAAAUGCCUAAGAUUAUACUUCCUAAACAAUGUUAGUGAAAUAUCCCCUGGAAAAGAAUACCUUUCAAAAAAAAAAAAAAAAAAAAAGUUUCCAUUUGCAAGGAGCAAUUCUAAGUAGCUUUCAGAAUUACUUAAGACCUUACUUUGAGAAAAUGGCUGUCUAUUUAUAGUAAAUGCAGAUGAUCUCCUGUGUCACAUAAUUUUUCACUCCAUCUCACAGUAAAAACUCUUUAGAAAUAUCAUAAUAUAUUCUCAAUGCAAGGCUGAAAUCCUUGCCUUCAAUCCUGGUUUUAUUCCUUUGGAAAAAAAAAAAAAAAAAAAAAAAAAAAAGCACAAUUUUCUUAGAGAUUAUUUUCUUCUCUGUCUCAAGAAAAAUCAUACUAAGUCAAAUUGGAACAAAAUUGUUAAGUACCUGCACAUAUCAGAAGGGCUCUGUGCAAUAUUUGAGUGAAGAUUAACAGUUAUUUUUCUUCAGAAUUGUAUCACAGAAAAGAUGGUGCUUCAGAUUAACAGUGAACCUGAAGGAAAAGUAGUUUCCGGCUCCAAUUUUCCUACCAUAUUGGACAAAUCUGACAACUUAGAGAAAACAUCUGUGGCUCUGGAAGAGUUCUUCCUUCCUGGGAGCCCACUCCACUGCAUCUGCUUUCCUACAGCCACCUUCCUCUGUCCAACUACAGGUUAUCUGAGGUUACUUCAAGCAGAAGUACAACUUCAAAAUGAGUGUCAAUGUAGUACAUGCAUAAAAUAUGGUAAUAGACCUAAAGACUUACACACCUAAAUGGAAAACUUCUGUAUAGAAAGAUGUUUCAGCCCAUGGAGCCAUCCAGCAGAAGACUUACCUCAGAAAACAUGCCCUGACCAUCAAGCCAAGCACCAUGGUCUGAAAGGUCUUCAAAGUACUUUCAAAGGCCCCAGUUAUGCAAUCGAUUAAUUACAGCUAUUGUGCAGGCAAUAGAAAACUGGAGAAGGAAGUCAGCAAAAGGGAGAAAAGUGGAAUGAUGAAGAGGAAUGAAGGAUCUUGACAGAAAUUGUUGGGGGAGUAAACCUGACAACUUCGGGAUGCCUACCUUAUUCAAAGAGACACAUGCAACAAUACAUAUUGCUUCUAUUAUUUUCCAAAACCACUGGUAUUUCUUUUUCUAUUUCCAAGAUUAAAUAAAUAAAUAAUUUUCCAGCA
rnacentral:lncRNA from 1 species